AGUUUGGUAAUCCGUUACAAAAUGGCUGUACUUGGUGUAGGAAGAUUUGUACGUUAUUUAUUGGUGUUACUUGGUGUAUUUACUGUUAUAAAUGUGUAGUUUGUACGUAUAAAGUCGGCAAGAAUUUAUCUUCUUCGACUAAUAUUGUAGGUAGGUAGUUUUGAUGCCGAAAUUACUGUAUAAAAUACGUGGAAAUACAACGUUUCGGAAUGUGUGAUUUGUCAUGGAAUAAUCUUAUUGAACUAUUUGAGUUACAACGAUGUUCCUUGAUAAUUCCAGGAUUGUUACAUUCUACAAAUAGCAGAAUAAGGAUCUGCAGCAGUGCUGAACUAGGCAUGGUAUUUGAGAGGCAGUCAGUUCACCAUUUUGUUUGAAGUGGUUCUUCAGCUACACCCUAGGAAUUGAAUUGUUAGGGCCAUGACAUUUAAGAGUGGCCUUAAGAGAUGAAAAUCUACCACCUGAGCCAGCUAACUCCACAUUCAGGUCCAGGUAUUCAACAGUAUUACAAUUGUCUAUAAGAGCCAGAGGCCUGAGUUCAUAUCUGAGCCCAGAAACCAGGUUUCUUGAUGGAUGUGUCAUGUACUUCCUCAGUCCAUCCAGUCAUCGGAGUGGCACACAGCGUCAUCUCCCCGACCAAAGAAAUCACGCCUCGUCCGAUCCAAGGAAAAAGUGAUGCUCAUGGCAUUCUUUGACAUCGACGGUGUGGUGCACCAUGAGUUCGUUGCAGAGGUUACGCGGAGGAAUCGGCGCGACAAGUGACAGGGUGAGUGGUUUCUGCAUUAUGAUAAUGCACUGAGCCACACAUCGCUGGUUGUGCAGCAAUUCCUCGCCGAGAAAAGCAUUCCCAUCAUCACCCAACCACCAUACUCUCUGGAUCUCGCUCCGAGUGACUUCUGGCUCUUCCCUGCUCUGAAAUGGGCCUCAAGGGGGCGAGUUUCGCAACCAUGGAGGACAUCAAAUCGAAUGUGACGGCCGAACUCAGGAAGAUUCCAAACGAAGCCUUCCGCCUUCCAACAAUAGCAGGAUCGAUGUAACAAGUGUGUGUGUGUGUGCGCGUGCGCAAGGGUCCUACUUUGAAGGUGAUUAGGUAAGCGUUACCAUAUGUCCUACCAUUACAGUGCUAUACUACAAUUCCGAGAACUUUUUGUCUGCCCCUCAUAUUUAUUUGUUGCUUAUUAUUGCAGUGUCUGCCAUCAUCUGUGACGAGUACCAAAAGUUAGUAGGUAAAUGUUCCAUGUAAAUGCAUUUUUUAAAAUGAUUUUAGUAGAAGCUUCAUUUGCAAUACUCCGUACUGUUCAUUUUAGAGCACUAGCUAAUUUUUCAUUUCAGCCCCACUAUAUGGGGUUUAUGCAAAGAAAUUCCCACAGUAUGUGCAGACAUAUUGUAUAUUUUUUUUGCUUAAAAGAUAUCAAUUAAAGGUAAUAGGAAACAAAAAUUUGCAUAUGCAACACACAAAUAUGUAGUCUGCAGCAGAAUUAUUGUUUAUUUUGAAAGCUCUGUUCCUCUAAAGUCAAACAUGUUGUGUUACAAAUGUCAGACAGAUGUCUCAAGCAGAUUUACCACAUUUUGUAGUUUUUAAAGUGUAUACUCUGAACAUGAAGCCAGCAUGCAAAAUAACAACAAAGAGGCAGACUCAUGAAGAUAUAGUGCAGUAUCUUAACGGCCAUACAAAAUAUAAUGUGUUCUUCCCCUAACACAAGACCAGGUGUCACACACGUACAACACGUACACGUUGAAACAAUUUUAGUUUCGUGUAUUUUGAACUCUACAUUUUCAGAUAGCAUAAGGAAGACUGAGUAAACAGUCCCUGAAUUUAGUCUGCUCUUAAUUUCCUUGUGAAUGGAAUUCUGGUUUUUCUACUGUUUCCAAAUAUUUGAACUUUGCCCCACUUUAAUUACCUUUGUAAUGUGUUAUAAUUUUUGACAGUGUCCAUAUGUCAUUGUACCGUUCCGUAUUUUCUUAUUUGACAAGUAUGAAGUAUACCAACAUGAAACUGCCAUAUGUAUUCAUUGACUGACUAAAAUUGUCUACUAUUGGUACCUUGAAAUUUAAUGUUCAUAAUAGCAGUGACUUUUUAAUUGCAUAUUAAAAGUUUUGGUGCAUAAAAUUCUUACAUUUUGUUGUGUUAAAUGUGUGACAUCUGGUUUUUCUAAAAAUAUCAUAUUAGCUUCCCUGGUUGUCAGUGGUUAGGUUCAGUCCAUAUUUGUGAUUUGUGUAAAUUAUAAACAGAAAAAAUAUUGUUUGUGUAUAGAUGAACUGAGAGUUUUUCACCUUCAAACUUUCACUGAAAGUAUAAUCAUGGGAAAGUCCUUGGUGUGUGAGACCAUUAUGGGCAACCCUCAGUGACCAUAAUAGAAGUCUUGGGCCACACCUUGCUGGAAACAUCUUUCUCAGUUUCAGUUCAGGAUAGUCAUUUAUCAUGCAGUUAGGCCCAUAGUCAGAUGCUUAUUCAAAGUUGUUUGCCAGUUACAGUACAAUAGUCCUUGUAAGAUCGGUCUGGAGUAACACACUUCUUCCCAAAAUGUUUAUACUUUCUGUGGUUCAUGUGAGUGGCAUUGUUAAAGUCAAUAGAUUGGGUAAUAUUGUUUAGCUUGUGGUAAGGUAGAACUGUGAUACUGUUAAACACACUAAAAUAACACAUAUGAAAUAGCAGGUAUGCAUCAUUUUGAAAUGACUCAAAAAUGCGAACGUAAGAAAUUUCAGUACAUGUAUUUGGUAUUAGAGACCUUGUAUCUUAGAACUGCAGAAUUCAGAUUAUAAGUGAAAAAUAUUUAGUAGUGGUUACAUAAAAUAAUUGUAAAAUUAUAACCUUAUAAUAUUGAUUCAAAUUAAUGACAAAGAUAUUUCAGGCAACUGUUUUUUAUAUCCAUCAUGUGGACUAUUUAAUUUUCUCUUCUUCUUUGUUUCACCAUAAAUCUCAUAUGUUCAAGAUAGGGACUGGUUGCAGGCUCUAAUGAACCCUUGGUUUAAGUAAACUGAGAAUUUUUUUAAAUAGGUCAUUGACUGUCAACAUCUUAAGAAAUAUUCUGCCCCUUGUAGUUACACAUCAGAAGUUUGUUGAAGCUAUUCAUUAAUAUGUAUUUUUUGGUGAAUUGAAAAUAUUGUUUGAAAUGUGAUGAAGUUCUGGAAUGCCUGCAUGUCACAUCAGGUAGCAAGAGGAAUAACCAAGCAGCAUCAUGUCUGUGGUUGUGUGUUGGUUAAACUAAUAAGGUAGUAGUGAAGCAGUGGCAAUUACGCAAGUGUGUCUUUUGUCUUGGCAGAUAAAGGAGUGAUAGUUUUUUGGAGCAGUGUAUUAUAUUUUAUGCAAAGUUAGGCAAAAGUGCAAGUGAAUCUCAGCAGAUGUUAACAGAUUGCAGUGCUGAUGCCAUGAAAAAGUUUAGUUUAAGUGGCAUAAAAUCAUAAGAGGGUCGGGAAGAUUCCAAAGACAAUGCAAGAACUGGGUGUCCAAAAACUCUGGACAGAUGAAAAUGUAGGAAAAGUGAGGAAAUUGGUUUGUUAUGACAGAUGAUUAAGUGUACAAAUUGUAGCAGAGCAACUAAAUUAGGAAGAGAAACUGUGAGGAAGGUUUUGACUGAAGAUUUGGGAAUGAGGAAAGUUUCAACAAAGGUGCCACGAAUUUUGUCUGAUAACCGGAAGUAGUCGCAGUGUGAGGUUCUGUUCUCUCUUGUCAGUUGGUGGAAGGAAACGGCUUUUUGGAUAGUUAUCAUGGGUUAU